rnacentral:rRNA from 1 species
UACGAAGGGGGCUAGCGUUGCUCGGAUUGACUGGGCGUAAAGGGCGCGUAGGCGGUUCGUACAGUCAGACGUGAAAUUCCUGGGCUCAACCUGGGGGCUGCGUUUGAUACGUGCGGACUUGAGUGCGGAAGAGGGUCGUGGAAUUCCCAGUGUAGAGGUGAAAUUCGUAGAUAUCUGGAGGAACACCGGUGGCGAAGGCGGCAUCCUGGACCGACACUGACACUGAGGAGCGAAAGCCAGGGGAGCAAACGGG